rnacentral:rRNA from 1 species
AAACUUUCAACAACGGAUCUCUUGGUUCUCGCAUCGAUGAAGAACGCAGCGAAAUGCGAUAAGUAGUGUGAAUUGCAGAAUUCAGUGAAUCAUCGAAUCUUUGAACGCACAUUGCGCCUUCUGGUAUUCCGGGAGGCAUGCCUGUCCGAGCGUCAU